rnacentral:rRNA from 1 species
GAUGAACGCUGGCGGCGUGCCUAAUACAUGCAAGUCGAGCGAACAGACGAGGAGCUUGCUCCUCUGACGUUAGCGGCGGACGGGUGAGUAACACGUGGAUAACCUACCUAUAAGACUGGGAUAACUUCGGGAAACCGGAGCUAAUACCGGAUAAUCUAUUGAACCGCAUGGUUCAAUAGGGAAAGACGGUUUUGCUGUCACUUAUAGAUGGAUCCGCGCCGCAUUAGCUAGUUGGUAAGGUAACGGCUUACCAAGGCAACGAUGCGUAGCCGACCUGAGAGGGUGAUAGGCCACACUGGAACUGAGACACGGUCCAGACGCCUACGGGAGGCAGCAGUAGGGAAUCUUACGCAAUGGGCGAAAGCCUGACGGAGCAACGCCGCGUGAGUGAUGGAGGUCUUCGGAUCGUAAAACUCUGUUAUUAGGGAAGAACAAAUGUGUAAGUAACUAUGCACGUCUUGACGGUACCUAAUCAGAAAGCAACGGCUAACUACGUG